GGGCCGGUAGCUCAGUCUGGCAGAGCACUAGGCUCUUAACCUAGCCGUCGCGGGUUCAAAUCCCGUCUGGCCCA
rnacentral:tRNA from 2 species